rnacentral:rRNA from 1 species
UACGAAGGGGGCUAGCGUUGUUCGGAAUUACUGGGCGUAAAGCGCGCGCAGGCGGUCUUCCAAGUCAGUGGUGAAAGCCCGGAGCUCAACUCCGGAAUUGCCAUUGAAACUGUGAGACUGGAGUACGAGAGAGGUGAGUGGAAUUCCCAGUGUAGAGGUGAAAUUCGUAGAUAUUGGGAAGAACACCGUGGCGAAGGCGGCGUCCUGGACCAACACUGACACUGAUGAGCGAAAGCCAGGGGAGCAAACGGG